CUUCCUGCUCGUGCCACCAGGCCCCGGGGCCGCGACGCGUCUCUCCAGCCCGGGAUCCGGGGAGCUGGGCUGUCCCCAGACCGACGGGACAGCGGCAUCUCCUCCACCUGAAAAGGAAAGAGGACCAGGUGGGGGCCAGGCAGGGCGCAUGAAGGCGGCGCCAGCACCGCGCGAUCCGAAUCACGUCGGUGCGGGGGAGGGGUCGGAGCCUGGCCUCGGCCUAGGGCGCAGAUGCGGUGCGCACCGCAGGGGGGCGGCGUGGGGUGCGGGGCCAGUCCCGCCGGGCACGGGGUCCUGGUCCUCAUCCCCUUCACCGCCGCCGCCCGCCUGGGCUGGCGUUUCCCCAGCGAGAGCGCGUAGUUUGCGCAGCGCCCCUCGCCCACGCCGCCGCUGGGUCGCGGGGCGCGCCUACCCAGAGCCGAGGUCCCGGACUCCCCGGCCAUCGCGACCCUUCCGGGGACUCCUCGCCCCUUCGCGGUGGGACCAAGGCCCGGGUGGGGCCGGGACAGGGUGGUGGGGGGAAGGGGGACCGUACAAAAGCAAACAGAAACCACGGGGGGCUCGCCGCGACGCCCAGUCCGAGGGCCUCUCGCCUGGAAGAGGGAAGAAACCCACGUCCUGGACGCGGGUGUGGGGUCUGUCCCGGGUCAGGACCUGUUGUCUCUGCGACGUUGCCAGUCCGGAGAGCUCGGAGGGCCAAUGCAGCCCCGGAUUCAACAAGAUGCGAAAGGACUUCUAAAGCCAGGAACCGGCACCCAGCCACGGCCACCGCCCGCCGGCCCGGCGCCCUGCCCCCACUCACUGCGCCCCCAAGUUCCGGCGCCGCGGGCUGCAGGGGUGACUUGGCUCGGCGUGCCUCGGGGCACGAGGCUCGGCCCCGCACGGCUCUCGGGUCCCGGGGGGCUGGGGUGGGAAGGGACAUGGCCGGCGCGCGGCGCUGGGGAGCCGGGUGCGCCAGGCUGGGGACCUUGCGUGGGGCAGGGCUUGGCUCAGCCGAGGGGCCGCGGCUCAGCCCCCCUCACCGGCCUUAAAGGUUCCCAGAGACGCAAAGUCGGACGCGGGUCCUGAGCGCGGAGCUACAGGGGGGAGCAUGGGGCAGCCCCCAAGGCGCGCUCCCUGCAUUUCCCACCCUUUCCACGCUGCCCUGCGCGCACGGUCGGGCGCCCUUGGGGUGGGCAGGGAGGCGCGGGCAGGGGCAGCGCCGAAGACCUCCCGCCGCCAUGGAGAAGGGGCUCCCCACCCACCCUCCUGCCCCAACCAUUAUAGAUCCCAGCCAGUGCGCCCCGCGCCCUUCCGGGACAAGCUGCCCCCAGGACCACCGUGCCCCAGUAUCAAGCGGACAGCAAAUCUCUCGGUGGCUCCUUUUUUUGCAGGACUCCGAACUGGGCCCGCGAGAUCUCCACCUGCGCAAAACGAAAGGGCGGAUUCUCCUUGGACUCACGAGGCAACCGCUCCCCGGGGUGAGAACGGGGGACUCAUUCCUCCGGCACUGGGAGAAGACGAUUCUUUAGGAGGAGGACAGGGAAGCGAAUGCUACCCAGGUGCGUAAUCACAUUUGGGCACCCUCGGGGGCCUGAGAGGAGGCCAGGGGUGACCUGCCCCCAUUCUCACAGGGGAGGGGCGGUGAGCCUAUUCUCACAGGUGUCUGUGAUGAGCCCAUGUUUUCCAAACUCCUCCGUGAUUCUAGAACAGUGCUAGAGAAGCCGUGAGCCAGCUGGCAGGUGAGAACGCCCAGGUGCAGGUGGAUGGCUGCAGGUCAGGCCUACUUUUCCUACACCUGUUGCUGGGGGGCAAUCCCAUACCCACUCUCAGUCCAGAGUGCCUGUCACCACAGGGCAAGUAGGUGAAGGGCUUCUCAGAUCCUCAAAGACUCAGAGGGAUAAAAGGAGGCAGAUGGGUCCUAGAGGCAGCCCAUGGCAAGGGAGAGGUCUGCUUUUUUCUUUUUUUUUGAGACGGAGUUUCACUUUUGUUGCCCAGGCUGGAGUGCAAUGGCCUGACCCUGGCUCACUGCAACCUCCACCUCCCAGGUUCAAGUGAUUCUCCUGCCUCAGCCUCCUGAGUAGCUGGGAUUACAGGUGCCCACCACUAUGCCCAACUAAUUUUUGUGGAGACGGGGUUUCACCAUGUUGGCCAGUCAGGUCAAAUUCCUGACUUGAGGUCAAACUCCUGACCUCAGGUAAUCCACCCAUCUCGGUCUCCCAAAGUGCUGGGAUUACAGGUGUGAACCACCACACCUGGCCGAGGUCUGCUUUUCUGAUCAGACAAAAGUGGGUUCCAACCUUGACUCACUACAUGGCCUGGGCAAUGUGCCAGCAUCUUCCCAACCUCUCCCUGCACCCCCAAAUAAUCUCAUUCAAUCUUCAAAAAGCCCUUUGAGAUAAGUCCUAGGACUGCUGCAUUUACAGGUGAGGAAAUUAGGACCUGAAAGGUAAGACUGGGUUGGCCACAACCAACGCAGGGAGGAGAGCGGGGUGGACCCACGACCCAAGGUGGCGCCUGUCGGUUCUCCAAGCCCUCACUCCUCAUGUACCUGCCAUCCUGCCUCAACUUCGCAAAUUGCUUACGCAUGCUGAGCGUGUGUCCUCGUGUACACCGACAGCAUCAGGCUCCUAGUAUGGAUGCAAUAAGUACUGUGGAAUGAAUGAAUGAAUGAAUGAAUGAAAUGAAUGCACACCUCCCUACCCCCAGGGUGAUGAUAAGGACUGUGCAAGACAGAGUGGCUGCACACAGUAGGCCCUCUCAUGCAUGCAGUCGCUCUUCUAAAACAUCUCUAUGAAGCACCUGUUUUGUUCCAGGCAUUGAGGGAACAUUGGUGCUCAUUGGUUCUCUGUUCCUUGCAGACAGACCUGGGAGCAUUCUCCUUGGAGGUCCCCACCCUUGUGGGCUCUUUUUUUCUUGCUUUCCUUUCAGAGCCACCAAAAUGCCUGGACCUGGGCAGCUAACAGUGGGAUGAAUCUGCUUUAGAGACACCAGACUGCCAGCUAGAGAAUUGAAAUAACCUGAUUCUUAUCUAUUUUUCCAUCCAGAGAGGGCACACCAAGGCUAGGCCUCAUUUUUUUUUUCUUUAAACAUUUUUGUGUUGACAAAUAAUGUUUUAUAAAGGCCUCACUAUCUGCCAAACUGUGUCUCACUUCUCCCCAGCCCUGCCAGGUGUGGGGACACCGAACCCACCCAUAUCUCCUCUAGAAUCCACCGAGCACUGAGAUAGCCACAUCUCUAACCUACACCUUUAACUUACAAGCCACAGUCAAGAGGGCUUUGGAGAAAGGGAACCACAGAGGUAGCACGGACAAGCCUCCACUAUCUGCCCCUGGCGCAGGACGCCCACAACCCCAGACACGGUGCACAACGGUCCCUCAGGAAGCCUUUCCUUGAGUCCUACAUUUAACCACAGAGGCCCAGAGGCCCAGGCGUGGUGGUGACUGCCUGCUCGGCAUGCCCCAACCUUUUUUUUUUUUUGAGACAGAGUCUGUCGCCCAGGCUGGAGUGCAGUGGCAUGAUCUCGGCUCACUGCAUCCUCUGCCUCUGGGAUUUAAGCGAUUCUCCUGCCUCAGCCUCCUGAGUAGCUGGGACUACAGGCGCCCGCCACCAUGCCCGGCUAAUUUCUGUAUUUCUACUAGAGAUGGGGUUUCACCAUGUUGGUCAGGCUGGUCUCGAAUUCCUGACCACAAGUGAUCCACCCACCUCGGCCUCCCGAAGCACUGGAAUUACAGGCGUGAGCCACCAUGCCCUGCUGGCCUCCCGCUCUGAGAUUACCUUUUCACCUCAGAUGAGAAAAAUGAACUCAGUAAAGUGCUUGGGAAAGAAACAUCUCAAUCCAAGCCAAUGGGAAAGCCUGGCAAGGAACCCAAGGAAUGUGGAUCUCCAGGGAGCCCAUGGCUCCAUCUUGUUCAAAAGUGAGAAUUUAAAAAGGAGGAUGAGCUUGAGACCAGCCAGGGCACCAUAGUGAGACCCCAUCUCUACAAAAAAUUUUAAAAUUAGCCAGACAUGGUGGUGCACACUUGUAGUCCCAGCUACUCAGGAGGCUGAGGCAGGAGGAUCACUUGAGGCAGGAGUCUGAGGCUGCAAUGAGCCAAGAUCACACCAGUGCACUUCAGCCUGGACAACAGAGGGAGACCCUGUCU
rnacentral:lncRNA from 1 species